GGACGACAAUGUUUUGAUGCUUUCUUCAUCUUCAUGGUUUGCUUGUGGUCUUUCGUAUCCGUCAAAACCCUAAUCGACCGGAGAAAUCGUCAAAAGUUCUUCACAAUAUGAUCGUUCCACAUAAUUUGCAGAUAUGCAUCCCUUGCACAACAGUCCUUCAUUUUUAAAGCUUAUUGAUGAAGAUGACCCGAUAUUUUUGGUGAAGAGCUUCUUUCAGACUCCUUCCCCUACAAGGAACUAUUGAAUGGGUUCCUAUGAGAAGUUGAAGAAAAGUUAUGGAUAAUGAAAACAACGCUCCUUCGUUGUUAAAGUCGAUUGAGGACUAUUAUCCUAUAUUUUUCGAAUUGUUCGUCGACCAAAAACAG
rnacentral:lncRNA from 1 species